rnacentral:lncRNA from 1 species
GUUCUACUCCGCUAGCCAGCACCUCGCCUAAACAGGUGUUCUACUCCUCUAGCCAGCACCUCUCCUAAACAGGUGUUCUACUCCGUUAGCCAGCACCUCGCCUAAACAGGUGUUCUACUCCGCUAGCCAGCACCUCGCCUAAACAGGUGUUCUACUCCUCUAGCCAGCACCUCUCCUAAACAGGUGUUCUACUCCUCUAGCCAGCACAUCUCCUAAACAGGUGUUCUACUCCGUUAGCCAGCACCUCUCCUAAACAGGUGUUCUACUCCGCUAGCCAGCACCUUGCCUAAACAGGUGUUCUACUCCUCUAGCCAGCACCUCUCCUAAACAGGUGUUCUACUCCGCUAGCCAGCACCUCUCCUAAACAGGUGUUCUACUCCGCUAGCCAGCACCUCUCCUAAACAGGUGUUCUACUCCG